UGUGAAGACACAAUGAAAUUAAAGACGGACCUUGUUGCUACUACUAGUUGUUACAUACACUGGCUUCAGAAAGUAUUCACACCCCUUCACUUUUUCGACUUUAUUGUAGAUUUAACUACAGAUAUCCCUCAACAACCCUAAAGAAAGUUUUGCAUAUUUAUUAAAAAUCAAAAACUUAAGUCUCUCAUUUACAACAAUGACGCCACAGUCAAAGUCACUGAGUCACAUUUUUCCCCAACUCCUGAACUUUGAACUCUGAACCACAUUAAAUGCUCAUGGUGACUUCAGUGACUUCUCUGGUUGCACAAUGCAAAGUGACUACCUGAGCGCACCUGUUCUUGGUGCAUGCUGUUUGUUGAUGUCCAUAAGUGUUGGUGCUAUGUGUGUCCUUGUAUGUGUGUUCAUGUAUAGCCUGGCUGCAAUCAAUUUCCCUGUAGGGGACAAUAAAGAUACUUUGAACUUUGAAUCUUCAGGAUUUUAUGCUCUACACUAAUUGUAUGAAUAAGCAGGUGUUAGGUGUUCCUAAUAAACUGGUCUAUAUAUAUAUUGAGUUUGAUUCAGCAACGUGUAGUUGCGCUUGUGCGUACGGCUGUUUGACGUAAGAUAAAAUGGUGAAAAUUUCCAUAAUAAAGCAUACACUUAAACUGAUAUUAGUUUUUUUCCGUGGGUAUUUUUUUCUAAAGUGACUAAAAUACUUUUUUUUCUUGUUCCCGUCCACAGCGGCUCAUCACUCAGCUUCGGUGCCAGUGCUCCUGCUGCCUCUCUAAACUGGGAGCUGAUCUGAAUCUACUGCAGAAGAAACGCUGCAGGGGAGACACCAGAGGGGAGUGGUGGAGCUUCUAUCAUUGACUGAAGCGCCACCCUGAGGAGGAAGCGUUAGAGCAAAGCAGGUGAAACAAGCCACAAGGUGUUUGCU